UACGGGGGGAGCAAGCGUUGUUCGGAUUUAUUGGGCGUAAAGAGCUCGUAGGCGGUUGGGUAAGUCGGGUGUGAAAACUCCAGGCUCAACUUGGAGAUGCCACCCGAUACUGCUCUGACUUGAGUUCGGUAGGGGAGUGGGGAAUUCCUGGUGUAGCGGUGAAAUGCGCAGAUAUCAGGAGGAACACCGGUGGCGAAGGCGCCACUCUGGGCCGAAACUGACGCUGAGGAGCGAAAGCGUGGGUAGCAAACAGG
rnacentral:rRNA from 1 species